ensembl:lncRNA
GACAAAAUGCUGCAGUAUCCUUUCUUUGUGCUUCAUGUAUCUAAGGUGACGUUGUCUGGCCGUUAUCAUGCGCUGUAUGUAAUGAGUAAUUUUGUACGUUUACGUUGCGUUGGUGCUUUCACAAUGCUGCCUGGAAAAGGAGGGUUAUUAUGGUCAAUGGUUAGGGUCUUUUGAGAGAUGUUCAGAAUCAGCCGUGAUCAUACACAUCAGGUCUUAUUAAAGCAGGCAACGAUUUGGCCUAACAAGCAGAUAGUCAAAAACCUACUGGCUGCAUCUGAAAAAGGCUCCCUAUUCACUACAGAGUGCUCUUCUUUUGACCAGAGUCCUAUGAGCCCUGAUCAGAAGUAGUGUACUAUACAGCUAUAUGGAAAAUGGUGGCAAUAGACUUGGGGAUCUGAAGCAAAUUUACCAGAAGGAAAUUAUGACACCUGGAACAUUAUGGGCCAGUUUAUCAGACAAAGAUUAUCAAUCAGUGAUAGAGGUUGUUACUCCUGGACUAGGCCUACUCUAUGUCUGGGAAAUCUCUAAAUGUCAUUGGAGGAAUGAUGAUAAAAAACAAAUGAACUCUUCUGUAAUGCUGUUCUCAAGUAUUGUAUCCUAGCUCCUUAUUUUGUGUCUUAUUUGACUUUCUUGAUUGCUAACAUGAAGAGAUCUGUCAAAACGCACCACUGAAAAAAAGCAUCAAAGACGUGGAUCUAAUGUUUUAAUCCAUGGAUGCAAUGUUACUAUAGUGUUUAUUCCAACAGGCUGGGUCUAUUGAAGCUUCUAUGAUUGCUUCCUUUGUGUGUUUUGUUUUCUGGGUAGCUAGUUAGAUGUUUCAUGGUUCUGCUUGGAGUUGUUCAGUGUGCCGGCACUGAAUUAGAAGGAUCCCAGUUGGAAGUAAUCCUUCUGUGAUUCCUUGAUUCUCUCAUUAGAAAACGUUUGGUGUGGUCUUCCUCCAUAGGAAAGGAUGCUGCAGCACUCAAUGUGAAGAACAUUUGUUGCACUGAAAUAUUUAAAAGAUCUUUGUGUUGUUUAUAAUAUUGAUUUGUGAAAAAAAAAAAAAGAAAACGAGUGAAGGAUAAGACAGUGUUACAGAUAACUUUUAUAUGGUUUCAGAUAAUGUGAUAUAAUUCUGAAAUGUAUAAUUAUCGAGAUGUUUUUCAAUAUUGAGAAAGCUAUACACGUCUCUUUACUUACGUAGUGUUUCAUUUAUUUGGUAUGUUAAUUCACCAUGUGUUUUUGUACCGUCACAAAUGUCUGUGCAAUUUCUUUUCUACAAAAUGUUUUAUUUUCAAUACUGCUUCUGUAAUUUGCCAUCCCAGAUAAAAAAAAAAAUGAAAAGCAAAAAAGAAGUAAUCUGUUGAGGCCUUAAUGACUGAAGUAAUGUUUCUAUAUUUGGACUCCGUCCUAAAUGUACCUAUUCCAUAUGGUGCGCUGUUUUAGAGCAGAGUCCAUAGUGCAGUAUUUCCCAAUCCUGGUCCUGAGGACCCCAAUGGGUGCAUGUUUUUGCCCUCACACUCACACAUUUGAUUCAAAUGUUGCCCUCACACUUAGACACUUGAUUGAUGUAAUCAACCUAUCAUCAAGUCUAUAAUAUGAAUCAGGUGUAUGAAUGCUAGGGCAAAUAUACAUGCACCCCUUGGGGUCCCCAAGACCAGGAUUGGGAAACACUGCCAUAGGGUUCUGGUUAAAAGUAAUGCAUUAUAUAAAGGAAUAGAGUGCCAUUUGAUUCCCUGGUCAGCUCCGAGACCCAUCUGUCUAUGUUGUUUCUGACUAUGAUCAAUGACUACUACAUUCCAAAGAAUUGGAUCAAAUAAAUGUUUGAAUAAGAUUCAUUCUAUGAAGUUGUUUCAGUUCAGAGAUGAUGAUUACAUGUUUAAAAUGUAGGUCUACCCUGUUAAUGUGGGCUGUGUCAUAUCCAUGUCGAACACCUGAGGGUAGUAUUGCCUAAAAUAUUUUGGAUAAUGGCAUCAACAAGGGC